AGUGAACGCUGGCGGCGUGCCUAACACAUGCAAGUCGAACGAUGAAGAGCAGCUUGCUGCUCGGAUUAGUGGCGCACGGGUGAGUAACGCAUAGGUAAUGUGCCCCUUAGUCUGGGAUAGCCACUGGAAACGGUGAUUCAUACUAGAUACUCCUUCUUACUAUAAGGUAAGUAGGGAAAGUUUUUCGCUAAGGGAUCAGCCUAUGUCCUAGAAGCUAGUUGGUGGGGUAAUUGCUCACCAAGGCAAUGAAGGGUCUCUGGUUUGAGAGGAUGAUCAGACGCACUGGAACUGAGACACGGUCCAGACUCCUACGGGAGGCAGCAGUGAGGAAUAUUGCACAAGGGAGAAAACUCUGAUGCAGCAACGCCGCGUGGAGGAUGACGCAUUUCGGGGUGUAAACGCCUUUUAUUAGGGAAGAUUAUGACGGUACCUAAUGAAUAAGCACCGGCUAACUCCGUGCCAGCAGCCGCAGUAAAAC
rnacentral:rRNA from 1 species